rnacentral:misc_RNA from 1 species
UAAAAAAAAAAAAAAAAAUUAAUUCUCAAAGCUUUUAGAUACAGGUAUACUCUGAGAAACCAUCAGUGAAACGGUGCGUUGCACCACAAAGAAAAGAGCAGCAAAUAGAUGAGCUAAACGGCACGUUAAAGUCAUUAGUAAAAUGGUGCGGAAGGAACAAAGCAAAGACUUGGCAGAAACUUCUCAUUGGUUCUUGUAUCAACAGUCCAGAUAUCAGUUAGGGAGUAAGAAGUUUCUUUCCCAGCUGGCAGAUCUGUUACAUUAGCUGGAGAGUUUGUUAUUAGCUUAAUCUAGAAUCUUCUAGAACUAUCUAGAAAUUCAAUUAGCUCAACCCACUUGUAUAUAUCUGUAUGUUCAGUUGUCAAUGAGAAUUGUAUCGUUCUCCAUCCAUUUCUUUUUUAGGCUUACUUUUCUAAUGGUAUCAGAGCAUUUCUCACCUGUGCUUUGACAACCAAUCUUAUUCUCUAGAUCUAAGGCAGCUACCAAACUUAGAUCAUCUUUUCUAGUAACCGUUUCUUGAUCUUCCGUGGCUGAUGUAGCUGAUCAUGGUGAUUCUAGUCCAGAUCUUGAUAGCAGGAAACAAGAUACAAGCAGCAAAGUUGAGAAUGAUGUGUUUAAUCUACAGAAUUCAGAUCAUCCGGGGAUGAUUUUGGUGAGUACACCAUCGAAUGGCAACAACUAUUUGUCUUGGAGUCGUUCUAUGGUAAUUGCUUUAAAGGCCAAAGAUAAGUUAGGACUUAUCAAUGGCAAAUGUGUUGUUCCUGAAGUUGAUUCUGCUACAUUUGAGAAGUGGCAGAAGGUGGAUAGUAUGGUGUACUCUUGGAUACUCAAUUCAUUAUCAAUCUCAAUUCAUUAUCAAAGGAUUUGGCUAAUGCCUUCUUAUACGCAGCAUCUGCCAUGGAAUUAUGUGAAGAAAUCAGGCUGAGAUUUGGACACAGUAAUGGGCCUUUGCUCUAUCAACUGAAGAGAGAUAAAAGUACUCUUAGUCUAAUAUGACUAUUAUGAAUUGUUUGAAGCCAUUACCUAUGUGUAAUUCUGGAGCAUCAAAAUAUAUGAGUGAGAUAGAUAAUGAUGACAAGGUAAUUCAAUUCUUGAUGGUUUUCAAUGACAGAUUCUUAUAACACAGCCACUGCCAAGUAUCAAUAAAGCCUACUCCAUGGUUCUUAAGAUUGAAAGGCAGAGAGAGGUGCAUUCUAUGGUAACUAAUGACUUAAACACUGCAUUAGCUGUGAAUACACAGAAAUAUCAAAAUGAUCCUAGUGGAAACAGAUUUCAACCUAAUAAGAAAGGUUAUGGAGAGACAGAUGAUAGAGUUUGCAACUAUUGUAACACUAGCGGUCAUAUCAGGGAGACAUGUUUCAAAUUACAUGGUUUUCCAGAUUGGUUCAAUGAAUUAAAGCUGAAGAAGAAUAAGGGAAAAUCAAACUUUGCUGCUGCUGCUGCGCAGUGAAAUGAAACUCCACGGGACUAUGAUUUUGACAAUGCUGUUCAUCAUGGAGUAAAGGCUUAUCUAAUAUGAUGCAGCAGUCCAACUUGAUCAAUCAAGAGCUGCUGAAGUUUAUGAACGGUCAGAAUCAGAAUGCAUAUGUGAAUGAAGCUGGUUGUGUGACAUUUACUACUUAUUUUGCAGGUAACUCAGUUGAUUGCCAUUCUUUUAGUUCUAAAGGUAAGAAUAUGGGAAUAUGGAUUAUAGAUACAGGGGCUACAUCACACGUGUCAUGACCUAGGCAUUUUCAUUAAACAUGUUAAACCCAAAAAAUAUAGCCCGGUAACACUACCUGAUGGCACAUGUAAAUCUGUUACAUAUAUUGGAUUUGUGAACCUUAGUUCUAUCCUUUGUCUAAGAGAUGUCCUACAUACCCCUAGUUUUUAAAUAUAACCUCUUAUCUGUUAGCAAAUUAACUCAAACCUCAAAUAUUAUCAUGCAAUUUUUCCAUGACAGAUGUGUUUUGUAGGACCAAGUAACCAGUGAAGUUAUGGCUACUGGAUUCUCACGUCAAGGCCUCUAUAGACUAAAUAAAGAUUCUCCUACAGUCAAUGCUCCUCAUACUAGCCUACCUAAGACUGUAUUUUCUAAUUCAAAUAAAGUCUGUCAAAUUUAAGAGGAUGUCAAUUGUAAUUUGUGGCAUCUCAGAUUAGGACACCCAUCACCUACAAAAUUGUCACACAUUCCUAAAUUACAUGUAAGGGAUUCUAAUCAUCAUGUUUGUGAAAUUUACCAUUUGGCUAAGCAACGUAGAAUUUCAUUUCCAAAGAGUAAAAUUUCGACUAUUAAGAUUUUUGCAUUAUUGCAUAUUGACUUUUGGGGACCCUACUCUUUAUAUACAAUAUGUAAUGCCAAAUAUGUUUUAACUAUAGUUGAUGAUUUUUCAAGGGCUACUUGGACCUUUUUACUUCAUGAAUAGAGUAUUCAAAACCUUAUGUGAUUUCUUAGCUAUGGUUGAAACACAAUUUCAAACAAAUGUCAAAAUCAUUAGAACAGAUAAUGGCACAGAGUUUGUAAAUCAAUCUUGUGAAAAUCGUUUCAAAGCUAGGAGCACCAUACAUCAAAAAUCAUGUUCCUAUUCACCACAACAGAAUGGGAUAGUGGAAAGGAAGCAUAAACAUCUUUUACAGCUAGCAAGAGCUUUAAUGUUUCAAUUAAAACUACCUAGACAUUUCUGGGGUGAAUUUAUACUCAUAAAGAAAACCCCUAGUGUUGUAUUAAAUUGGAAAACACCCCAUGAAAUUCUUUUUGGAAACAUUCCUUAUUAUACCACCCUUAAGGUGUUUGGAUGCGUUUGUUUUGCAACAAUCCUUACACAUCAUAAAGAUAAAUUUGCUCCAAGAGCUUUUAAAUGCAUUUUUAUUGGGUAUGCUCCUGGCUAAAAAGGCUACAAAUUAUAUAACAUGUCUACAAAGCAAAUCUGUAUUUCCAGAGAUGUUAGAUUUUAUGAGACUCUUUUUCCAUAUCACAAAGCAAAAUUUUCACAUACUGAUGAUGCAAUUAUUCCUUUACCUGUAUUAAAUUCAGAUCUCUCUUCACAUCCAUCAUGUCACUCCCAAUCUCAUAUGCCUAUGCCUUCCAUCAACACUCAUCACAGUAUAUUUGAGUCUCCUAUUUCUCAUACACAAUCUUCUCCUAUGUGUUCUAUUCAGUCCACAUCACCUAUUUCCAAUAACAACUCACACUCAUAUAUCUACCUAUUCGGCCCACAUCACUUAUUUCAAAUAACCAAAUUCCUUCAAGGAAAAGUACAAGAAUUACUUCCAGGCCUAAAUGGUUGAAUGAUUUUACAGCUUCUGUCUCUAACACUUCUUUUUAUGCAGAAUCCUAUAGCCACAAUGAACUGAACAACCUUGAUCCUACAAACACAAUAACUUAUCCUAUCAUUCCCCAUUUCUUAUCACCUCCAAAUUUUCAUCAUGAUUACUUGAGUUUUGUAGCCAAUAUAUCUACAAUCAUGGAACCAAAAACUUACCAGCUGGCUAAAACUGAAAUCAAUUGGGUGAAUGCAGUGGAGGCAGAAUUAAAAGCAUUGGAGCUCAAUCACACAUGGGUUCUUACCCAACUCCCUGGGAUUGAUUAUCAAGACAUUUUUUCUCCUGUUGCCAAGAUUGUCACUUUUAGACUAUUUCUUGCCGUGGCAAUCGCUUUUCAAUGGCCUAUCCAUCAGCUUGACAUCAAUAACACCUAUCUUCAUGGGCAUAUUGAUGAGGACAUUUACAUGGUACCACGACAAGGCUAUUAUAAAGCGAGCAUUUACAGUCAUAUGGGUUUAAUCAAUCAGCGUUUGAUCACCGUCUCUUCACCAAUAAUUCCCCACAUCACUUUCUUACUCUCAUUGUAUAUGUCGAUGAUAUUUUGAUCACAGGAGAAGAUAAGCAUGAUAUAAUCCAGGUCAAACAAUACCUGGACAAACUCUUCACCAUCAAAGACGAAGAUUACGUCAAAUACUUCCUAGGCAUUGAAGUUGCACGUUCUGAGAAUGGGAUGUAUUUGAAUCAAAGAAAGUAUGUACUUGACAUACUCAAAGAUGAUGGGCUUUCUGAUGCUAAGACUGCUAAAUUCCCGUUCCCCAAAGGACUCAAAUUGAGUAUUGAGGAUGGUGAUUUGCUACAGGAACCUGAUUAGUACAGACGUCUUGUUGGAAAGAUUACUUUACCUGAGCCUCACUAGACCAGAUAUCUCUUAUUCCACUCAACAGUUGAGUCGAUUUAUGUAGCAACCCUGACAGCCACAUUGGCAAGCCGCACUUCAUGUGCUUCAAAUUGCAAGCAUUCUGCGACUCUGACUGGGCAGCAUGUCCAAUAUCUCACAAAUCACUAAUCGGUUUCUGCAUUUUCUUAGGCCCAUCAUUGAUUUCCUGGAAAGCAAAAAAGCAGAACACCAUUACUUGUCCUUCUGCUGAGGUUGAGUACCGUAGCAUGGCUACCACCGUCUGCGAGAUACAGUGGAUAAGCUAUAUCCUUCGAGAGUUCCAAAUACAGCUCUCAUAACCCAUAGUACUUCCCUGUGAUAACAAAGCUGCGCAACACAUUGCAGCAAACCCCGUCUUCCACAAACGCACAAAACAUCUCGACAUCGACUGCCAAGUUGUCCGAGAUCAGAUUCAGAAGGGGUUCAUCAAAACUAUUCACGUACCAUCUCACUUUCAGCUAGCAGACUUGAUUACCAAACCUUUGGGAGCCGCCACUUUCAACCUGCUCUUAGAUAAGAUGGGACUCCUUGACCUGUCUCCAUCUUGCGGGGGGAUGAGAAACCAUUAGUGAAACAGUGCAUUGCACCACAAAGAAAAAAGCAACAAAUAGAUGAGCAAAACGGCGCGUUGAAGCCAUUAGUAAAAUGGUGCGGAAUGAACAAAGCAAAGAGUUAGCAAAAACUUCUGGUAUUAACAGUCCAGAAAUCAGG